rnacentral:lncRNA from 1 species
AACUUGCAACUUCUAUUACUGCAAUUCUAUGUGCUGCCAAAUAAUCCUUAACCAAUAAUUUCAUGCCUCUUUUACCAAAGUUAGUUUGGAGAAGAUCACUAGUAUCUUUGUAGUAAAUUUGAUAAGAUGGUACAAAAAGGCGUAGGACACUAUUGUUGGUUAUAAGGACCAAUGAACUACUUGCCGCAUGAACAAUAAUUGAAGUAUAUUACAAACACUAUGUGACAAAUUUUCAACUUCUUAUGUUGAUAUUGACUUGCAAUAGGAGUGCUUUUCGGAGACCUCGAAGCUAAAGAGGCAGUGAUGUCAAGGACAUACACUAAGAAAUUAUAGAAGAUUCUAGAAGGUUCUAGAGAAGCUUUGUAGUUUAUAGAAGCUACUUGAGAAGUUUUCAAGCUCAUGUAAGCUGCUUGAGAAGCUUCCUAACUCGUAAUAUAUAUAGUAGUUGAGAUUGAGGGGAUCCUC